CACUUUGCCAAGGUUGAAGCCAUGCCCGGGAAAAAGAGGCAGAAAACACAGUAGGGUGUGCAGCCCACUCCUUUUCCAAAGAGGGUUUUGGGGCUUCAAUAGUUAAAGAAAGAAGUGGCCGCAGGGGAAGGAGGAAAGGAAAAAAGGGAGGGUCAUAUUCUUGUGAGGCUGUGAUCAGUGUCCACUGCUCUCCAGGUUGCAGGUGAAAGUGGGGGCCAGAGGAACAGUUGAUUUGUGUGUGUGUGUGUGUGUUUUUUUUGAGAUGGAGCCCCACUCUGUUAUCUAGGCUGGAGUGCAGUGGCGCAAUCUCAACUCACCGCAACCUCUGCCUCCCGGGUUCAAGCGAUUCUCCUGCCUCAGCCUCCUGAGUAGCUGGGAUUACAGGCAUGCACUACCACCACGCCUGGCUAAUUUCUGUAUUUUUGUAGAGAUGGGGGUUUUGCCAUGUUGGCCAGGCUGGUCUCGAAUUCCUGACCUCAGGUGAUCCACCCGCCUCAGCCUCCCAAAGUGCGGGAUUACAGGCGUGAGCCACGAGCCACCGUGCCUGGCUGAUUUGUUGUUCGUUUACAUUUUCAGGUGAGGGAGGCCACCUGGGGAGACACGUGGCCUUCUAUCUUGUAGCUGUCUGUUUAAGAACAAAAGGAAAGGCAGGGGUUUUUUUUGUUUUUGUUUUUGUUUUUUGCAUGACUCAGUUUCUAAGCUUAACUUUUUCCUUUGGCAUAGUGAGUCUGGGGACCCAAGAUCUUAUUUUCCUUUCUGUCACCCCCGCUUGGUUUUGGAUUCCGUGACAGCUGGACCCGGCUUCUGCGUGGACAUAAUUGGAGACACUGGUUAUUUUACCAAAGCUUUGACCGGAAGGAUGUACUUUUGGAUACAAACAGACUGCUUUAAGGAGUCAAAGCUGACUUAUGAAGUUGGCCUCAUCCCUUGUCUACACAGUCACUGUACAGAGUUCCUUGCCUGUAGUAUGUAAAGAAUGUCACUUUCUGACAGGCUCAGGAGCCCCAAAUUAUCCUGGGACCUUGAGGAGAGGACAUUGCCCAAUUUAUAUAGGUAUUUUCAGGCACCAAUAAAUCAUGGCUGGGCUCAAGGCUUUAAAAAAAGUCAAAUCUGGGAUUCGUUAUAGAAUAAAGUUCCAGCAAAGCCAAUUUUAAGACAGGCCUAUAUGGCAAAUAAUUAUUCGUGCUGACAUUAUGCAAACACUCAGGCCAAGUAUAAGAUGAAAAAUUAUUUUAAAUAAAUUUGUCCUACUAUGAUUUGUCUUCAGUAAAAACAGGUACUGGGCUGGGCAUGGUGGCUCACAGCUGUAAUCCCAGCACACUGGGAGGCCAAGGCAGGCAGAUCGCUUGAGGUCAGGAGUUUGAGACCAGCCUGGCCAACAUGGUGGUGAAACACCAUCUCUACCAAAAAAUAUAAAAAUUAGCCAGGUGUGGUGGCAUGUGUCUGUAAUCCUAGCUACCCAGGAGGCUGAGGCAUGAGAAUUGCUUGAACCCAGGAGGUGGAGCUUGCCUGAGUCCUGGUAAGGCACAGACAGAAAGGGUUGUCAGCCAUUUUUUUCUGAGGUUAUAAGAUCUGCAACUUCCCCAGUUAUUC
rnacentral:lncRNA from 1 species